CUUGCAAACUAAAGAUGGCGACCGGCGCACGGGUGAGUAACACGUAUCCAACCUGCCGAUAACUCGGGGAUAGCCUUUCGAGAGAAAGAUUAAUAUCCGAUGGUAUAUUAAAACCGCAUGGUUUUACUAUUAAAGAAUUUCGGUUAUCGAUGGGGAUGCGUUCCAUUAGUUUGUUGGCGGGGUAACGGCCCACCAAGACUACGAUGGAUAGGGGUUCUGAGAGGAAGGUCCCCCACAUUGGAACUGAGACACGGUCCAA
rnacentral:rRNA from 1 species